GACGAACGCUGGCGGCGUGCUUAACACAUGCAAGUCGAACGGUGAAGCGCCUUCCUUUUUGGAGGGUGUGGAUGAGUGGCGAACGGGUGAGUAACACGUGAGUAACCUGCCCCGUUCUUCGGGAUAACCGCAUGAAAGUGUGGCUAAUACGGGAUAUUCUGGGUCUGUCGCAUGAUGGGUCUGGGAGAGAUAGUGUGUCGGUGGGGGAUGGGCUCGCGGCCUAUCAGCUUGUGGGUGGGGUGAUGGCCUACCAAGGCGGUGACGGGUAGCCGGGCUGAGAGGGUGGCCGGUCGCGAUGGGAGUGGGACACGGUCCGGACUACUACGGGAGGCAGCAGUGGGGAAUAUUGCACAAUGGGCGCAAGGCUGAUGCAGCGACGCCGCGUGAGGGAUGGAGGCCUUCGGGUUGUGAACCUCUUUCGCCAGUGAAGCAGGCCUGCCUCGUUUGUGGGUGGGUUGACGGUAGCUGGAUAAGAAGCGCCGGCUAACUACGUG
rnacentral:rRNA from 1 species